UUUUCUGUGUAUAUUUGUGGGUUUCUGUGUAUAUUUGUGCAUCUCUGCAUUUCUGUGUGUAUUUCUGUGUAUAUCUGGGCGUUUCUGUGUAUAUUUGUGUAUUUCUGUGUAUAUUUGGGUGUUUCUGUGUAUAUUUUUUGCAUCUCUGUAUAUUUGUGUGCUUCUGUGUAUAUUGUUUGGGUCUGUGUAUAUUUGUGCGUCUCUGCAUUUUUGUGUACAUUUGUAUUUUUCUGUGUAUGUUCGUGGGUUUCUAUGUAUAUUUAACCAUUUCUGUGUAUAUUUGUAUCUGUGUGCAUAUUUGUGCGUUUCUGUGUAUAUUUGUGUGUGUUUCUGUGUAUAUUUGUACGUCUGUGUAUUUUCGUAUGUUCCUGUGCACAUUUGUGUCUAUUUGUGUUUCUGUGUAUAUUUGUGUGUUUUAGUGUAUAUUUGUGAAUUUCUGUGUAUAUUUGUGUUUCUUGCAUAUUUGUGUGUACAUUAGAGUGUAUUUGAGCGUGAAACACAAAUAUAUUUGUGCGUCACUGUGUAUAUUUGUGUGCGUUUGUGUUCAGAAACAGAUUUUUUUAUUCCAAUGAUGUUACGGCUGUGGCCUAAUUUGGCUUGGAUUUCUUUUUGUUCUGUAUGUAGUGUAUUUUCUUUUUGUUCUGAGUGUUGUGUAUUUUCUUUGUGUUGUGUAUUUUCUUUCUUAACGGGCACAAGAAACGACAACAAACAAUAUGAAGUGAAGUUCUGGUUAAAGUGAUGCCUCUGACCACAGCUUUAAUGGUUCAAGCAUCAGAUGGAGGCGUGCCGCUCAGACAUCAGAACACCAGUGGAACCGGGUUACUGGUGGAAACGGAUCACCAGUGGAACCGGGUCACUGGUGGAACCUGAUCACCAGUGGAACCAGGUUACUGGUGGAAACGGAUCACCAGUGGAACCGGGUCACUGGUGGAACCGGAUCACCAGUGGAACCAGGUUACUGGUGGAAUCAGAUUACUUGUGGAGCACACAAACAAAUUUACAUCUACAAAAAGUCAAAAGUACAAAAACCCGUUCUCCAACGGACCCUAAAAGACGAUCUGCUGUUGACGUGUUUGAUUUUCAUGAUUGUCACAAAUAUACAAACUUCUCCGUAAAAAUGCGCCGCUCGCCGAAUGCCACUGACGGAUACUCGUCGGUAAAAGUGUGUCCUUUGUUGGUUUGUAUCUUUUUGUUCCACGUCUACGAUGA